rnacentral:snRNA from 1 species
GGAUGUGAGAAGGAUCUGACUGUGACACUGUUCACACAGCUGAUUGCCAGAGUUCAUUCAGUUGAUCUAGCCAUCUAGAUGGUGUCUCCUUCCUCUCUCACUCCUCCAUGUGCAUCCCUCCCAAGCUCUGCCCAAGAGAAUGAUCUUCCCUGG